rnacentral:rRNA from 1 species
GAACUUAGCAGAGAUGCUUUGGUGCCUUCGGGGAACUCUGAGGACAGGUGCUGCAUGGCUGUCGUCAGCUCGUGUUGUGAAAUGUUGGGUUAAGUCCCGCAACGAGCGCAACCCUUAUCCUUUGUUGCCAGCGGCUCGGCCGGGAAACUCAAAGGAGACUGCCGGUGAUAAACCGGAGGAAGGUGGGGAUGACGUCAAGUCAUCAUGGCCCUUACGGCCAGGGCUACACACGUGCUACAAUGGCGCAUACAAAGAGAAGCGACCUCGCGAGAGCAAGCGGACCUCAUAAAGUGCGUCGUAGUCCGGAUUGGAGUCUGCAACUCGACUCCAUGAAGUCGGAAUCGCUAGUAAUCGUAGAUCAGAAUGCUACGGUGAAUACGUUCCCGGGCCUUGUACACACCGCCCGUCACACCAUGGGAGUGGGUUGCAAAAGAAGUAGGUAGCUUAACCUUCGGGAGGGCGCUUACCACUUUGUGAUUCAUGACUGGGGUGAAGUCGUAACAAGGUAAGCGUAGCGAG